UGAUGAAACUGACAAAGGCGAGAGCGCGCAGCAGCCCACAGCAGCCGAGUUCGCGCCGCCGGUAGGUGCUGCCAUGCCAGGGGGCGGGAUCGUGGAGCGCCUCGCAGAACCGCACGAAAGCAAAAACAAAGCCAUCUCUCCGGAGCAGAAAUAGAACAGACGUGGCCGGGGAAAGCCAAAUAUUUGUGAGAUGAUGUGAACAAAGGGGGAAAAGUCAAUCCAGGGAAGUUUGAGUUUCUGGUUGGAGGCUUCAGCGGCUCUGAUCGCUGGAUACUUUAAGAGAACAUCCUUUGCCCCCGCUCUCCCUCUCUCCCCGAAGAAAAAUAAAUCCUUGGCAAAAUGAGACUUGACGGCAUGAAAAGAAGGUCUCCAGACUGUCCCAGCUGGCGCGGGCGGGGCCGGGGCCGAGGUGCCGCUUGGUGACACUGCAGCCGCGGCUCAGCACUGUCACCCAGAAAGGCCCGCCGACGUCUGUAUGCAGGGAACGUGGCUCUUAGCAGAGCCUGGACAGGCGCAGGGCCAAGGAAGUCUUUGUUUUUGUUUCUUUCUCUAGCCCUUCCUGCCAAUACAUCAGGGAUAUAACUCCUUGGUGUUUCUGCCUUACAAUCGCUCCUUAUACCCCACCCAGAUCCUCAGCACUGCAGCUCCCACUGCCACUGCCCGCUCCUGCCGUCCUGGUGAACACAAUCGAGCAAGGCAGUGAAGCAAACAUCAUUAGGUGGCUGGACUCAGACACAUCACGCUCCAGUUUGGGUUCCAAGGUGCUUCUCUCUGGAUUUUCACCUGCCUUGCCAAAAAUGAUUGAUUACGCUGGGCCAACUGGGUGUCCGGCAAUACCCAACAAAUGACUUUGGCCCCUAACAGCAGGUCUUGGCCAGACAGAAAUCAAUAUUUCACCAUUAAAAUCUAUCAAAGAAGAGUUAAGGCACCAUCUGUCCCUGCCGCCUCUCUAUGGUGUGUGAACAUUAAAUCCGACACUUGUACUACAUGGGUAAUCAAUAUAUAGUGGUUCACAGAUCAUUUGUGGUUCCCUUUUAGCAGUGAUGGAUGUCUGGAAUCGUUGUGAUUCAUUUUGUCAGACCAUUAAACAAGAUUCUGUCCAGUU
rnacentral:lncRNA from 1 species